UACGUAGGGGGCUAGCGUUGUCCGGAAUCAUUGGGCGUAAAGAGCGUGUAGGCGGUCCGGUAAGUCCGCUGUGAAAGUCGGGGGCUCAACCCUCGAAUGCCGGUGGAUACUGUCGGGCUAGAGUGCGGAAGAGGCGAGUGGAAUUCCUGGUGUAGCGGUGAAAUGCGCAGAUAUCAGGAGGAACACCAAUGGCGAAGGCAGCACUCUGGGCCGGUACUGACGCUGAGGAGCGAAAGCGUGGGGAGCAAACAGG
rnacentral:rRNA from 1 species